AUUGAACGCUGGCGGCAUGCUUUACACAUGCAAGUCGAACGGCAGCACGGGAGCAAUCCUGGUGGCGAGUGGCGAACGGGUGAGUAAUACAUCGGAACGUGCCCAGUAGUGGGGGAUAGCCCGGCGAAAGCCGGAUUAAUACCGCAUAUGCCCUGAGGGGGAAAGCGGGGGACCGAAAGGCCUCGCGCUAUUGGAGCGGCCGAUGGCUGGUUAGCUAGUUGGUGGGGUAAAGGCCCACCUAGGCGACGAUCAGUAGCUGGUCUGAGAGGACGACCAGCCACACUGGGACUGAGACACGGCCCAGACUCCUACGGGAGGCAGCAGUGGGGAAUUUUGGACAAUGGGCGCAAGCCUGAUCCAGCAAUGCCGCGUGUGCGAAGAAGGCCUUCGGGUUGUAAAGCACUUUUGUUUGGAAAGAAAAGGUCAGUGCUAAUACCACUGGCUGAUGACGGCACCAAUCGAAUAAGCACCGGCUAACUACGUGCCAGCAGCCGCCGUAACAC
rnacentral:rRNA from 1 species